GACGAACGCUGGCGGCGUGCUUAACACAUGCAAGUCGAACAGUGGCGAAAGGGUGAGUAACACGUGAGUAACCUGCCCUCCACUUUGGGAUAACUCCGAGAAAUCAGGGCUAAUACUGGAUAGUGGGGGAUGGGCUCGCUGCCAAUCCGUUUGUUGGGGGGGUAGUGGACACCAAGGCGUGACGGGGAGCCGGCCUGAGAGGGGGACCGGCAACACUGGGACUGAGACAGGGCCCAGUGACGUACGGGAGGCAGCAUAGGGGAAUAUUGCACCAUGGGCGAAGGCGCGAUGCAGCGCGGCCGGGUGUGGGAUGAAGGUCUUCGGGUUGUAAACCUCUUUCAGCAAGGAUGCGGUACUUGCAGAAGAAGCGACGGGUAACUACGUGCCAGCGGCCGCGGUAAUAC
rnacentral:rRNA from 1 species